rnacentral:rRNA from 1 species
AACACGGACCAAGGAGUUUAACACAUGUGCGAGUACAGGGGUGGCAAACCCCCGUGCGCAAUGAAAGUGACAGUGGUUGGACCCGCAAGGGGCACAAUCCGCCGGCCAUAAUCCUUCGGGAGCAAGGUCUGAGUGUGAGCAUAUGUGCUAAGACCCGAAAGGUGGUGAACUAUGCCUGAAUAGGGUGAAGCCAGGGGAAACUCUGGUGGAGGCUCGUAGCGAUUCUGACGUGCAAAUCGAUCGUCAAAUUUGGGUAUAGGGGCGAAAGACUAAUCGAACCACCUAGUAGCUGGUUCCCUCCGAAAUUUCCCUUAGGAUAGCUGCAAUCGAUACUUUAAUCAGUUUUAUCAGGUAAAGCGAAUGAUUAGAGGAUCCGGGAGCGGAAUGCUCUCG